rnacentral:misc_RNA from 1 species
CUUCACACUAAUCAAUGGCUCCCAUUCUCCCUCUGUGCCUCUGCUUCAUUCUCUUUUGCCUUGGUCCCCUGGCUGAAGGAGGUCCAUGGGCGAGCCCAGCGAGAGGUGGAGCUGCGAGAGACUGUACCGGAGUCGAGAAGCUAACAACCCUCGAGACAACUCGAAGGGUCGACUCCGAGGCCGGGUACACCGAGUACUUCGACGAGACUGACGUCCAAUUCCGGUGCUCCGGCUUCGCCGCCCACCGGCAAACCAUCUACCGCAAGGGUUUCCUCAAGCCUCACUAUUCCAACUCUCCUCAAGUCAUAUAUGUCAUUGAAGGAAGUGGCCUCUACGGAUUAGCCAUUCCCGGCUGCCCGGAGAACCAGCGGGGCGCGGACGGAGAUCAACAUCAGAAAAUCAACAAGUUCAGUAAGGGCGAUGUGAUCGUCAUACCGGCCGCCAUUGUUUCAUGGUUCUACAACAACGGCGAGACUCCGAUCAUCACCCUUAACUUCCUCGACACCGGCAACACAGCUAACCAGCUCGACCGCAAGCGUAGAAUAUACUUUCUAGCAGGAAACCAGCACCAAACCGGCAAUUCAUGGCAGGGUGUGUUCAGUGGGUUUGAGCCUAAUAUGUUGGCUGACUCCCUCGGCGUCAGCGUGGAGCUCGCCAACAAGUUCCAGACUCCGGCGCAGCACAAUGGCGAGAUUGUCCUUCUGAAAAAGGGGCUGAAAAUCAAGCCCACGUACAACGAUGACCAGGAGGAGGAAGAGGACAGGCAGAGAGCCCGGCUGAAGGGACUGGAUCAGGCCUUCUGCUCUUUGAAAACCAAGGAGAAUAUCGACCAGAGCGGCGAUGUCGAAGACCCGAGAGCCGGUACCCUCAGCAACCUCAACGCCAACAAGCUCCCCAUCCUCGACAUAGUUCAGAUCAGUUUAACAAGGGCCAUCAUGUACAAGGGUGCAUGCCUUGUGCCUCACUGGAGCCUCAACACCCACAGCGCUGUCUAUGUGACUGCCGGUAAGGGACGGAUUCAGCUCAUCGACAGCGAGGGGAGAUCGGCCUACGACGAUGAGCUCGGUCCAGGGCAGCUGGUCAUCGUGCCUCAUACCUUCGUGUGCAUCAAGCAGGCGACAGGGGAGACGUUCGAGUACAUUUCCUUCAAGACUCACGGUGCCGCCAUGUUCAACCAGAUCAUUGGGAAGGAGUCGCUGCUGCGGGCAUUACCGGCCGAAGUGAUCAUGAGCUCGUUCAGGAACCUCACUAGGGAGGAUGUGAAGAUUCUGAAGGAGGGAGAUGCAGCGUCUAUAGUACCUCCUAGAUCUCUGUUGGAUGCUUCCGUCUAAUGUAUCGAGUGAAGUUCGUGGGUUUGGUUCGAGUCAGGUCUGUUUGAGCAGUGUAAUCGGAGUCAAGUGAAAUGGUUUUAAUAAUUAUGUGGAUGUAAUUUAGAAUCCACAAUCGACUUUUAUGCAGUGGUUUUUUUUGUUUUUGUGUGUCUGUGUGCUUAGGAAUCAGCUUAUCCAGAGGUUCGCAGCUGAUCCUGCCAAAUCAUUGGAUGUAAUUUAUAAUCCACAAUGAUUUCUUAUGCAAAAUUUGUAACAAUGAUUGGGAGUUUUUCUUUAAUGAAUUUUGAUAUGGUACCCUCGAGAGGGUUACAAU